CUUAUAAGGUCUGGCAAUUGGAAUGAGAACAAUUUAAAUCCCUUAUCGAGGAUCAAUUGGAGGGCAAGUCUGGUGCCAGCAGCCGCGGUAAUUCCAGCUCCAAUAGCGUAUAUUAAAGUUGUUGCGGUUAAAAAGCUCGUAGUUGGAUUUCUGUCGGAGACGCGCGGUCCGCACUAUGUGCGUGUAUCUGUGUCGGCUCUGGCAUCCUCCUGGGGAACGGUGCUGCGCUUGAUUGCGUGGUCCGGUAUUCAGGACUUUUACUUUGAGGAAAUUAGAGUGUUUACGGCAGGCAAGCGCCUUGAAUAUAUUAGCAUGGAAUAAUAAGAUAGGACCUCGGUUCUAUUUUGUUGGUUUCUAGAGCUGAGGUAAUGAAUAAUAGGGAUAGUUGGGGGCAUUAGUACUUAACUGUCAGAGGUGAAAUUCUCGGAUUUGUUAAAGACUAACUUAUGCGAAAGCAUUUGCCAAGGAUGUUUUCAUUAAUCAAGAACGAAAGUUAGGGGAUCAAAGACGAUCAGAUACUGUCCUAGUCUUAACCAUAAACUAUGCCGACUCGGGAUCGG
rnacentral:rRNA from 1 species